UACGAAGGGGGCUAGCGUUGCUCGGAAUCACUGGGCGUAAAGCGCACGUAGGCGGCUUUUUAAGUCAGGGGUGAAAUCCUGGAGCUCAACUCCAGAACUGCCUUUGAUACUGGCGACCUUGAGUCCGGGAGAGGUGAGUGGAACUGCGAGUGUAGAGGUGAAAUUCGUAGAUAUUCGCGAAGAACACCAGUGGCGAAGGCG
rnacentral:rRNA from 1 species